rnacentral:rRNA from 1 species
UACGUAGGGGGGCAAGCGUUUGUCCGGAAUCAUUGGGCGUAAAGCGCGUGUAGGCGGCUCGGUAAGUCCGCUCUGAAAGUCCAGGGCUCAACCUCGAGACGCCGGUGGAAACCGUAAAGCUAGAGUCCGGAAGAGGAGAGUGGAAUUCCUGGUGUAGCGGUGAAAUGCGCAGAUAUCAGGAAGAACACCCGUGGCGAAGGCGGCUCUCUGGGACGGUACUGACGCUGAGACGCGAAAGCGUGGGGAGCGAACAGG